GACGAACGCUGGCGGCGUGCCUAAUACAUGCAAGUCGAACGCAGUUGCGAACGGGUGAGUAACGCUUAGGUCACUGCCUGGUAGCGGUGUAUAACUCUUGGAAACGAUAGCUAAUACCGCCUCCUACCCGAUUGACCUGCGUUGUAUUAGCUAGUUGGUGGGGUAACGGCCCACCAAGGCAACGGUACCUAGCCGACCUGAGAGGGUGAUCGGCCACACUGGGACGGAGACAAGGACAAGACUCCUACGGGAGGCAGCAGUAGGGAAUCUUCGGCAAUGGACGGAAGGCUGAACGAGCAACGCGGCGGGAGUGAAGAAGGGUUUCGGAUCGUAAAGCUCUGUUGUAAGAGAAGCGGUAUCUUACCAGAAAGGGACGGCUAACUACGUGCCAGCAGCCGCGGUAAUAC
rnacentral:rRNA from 1 species